CGAACCAAGCAGGGUGGUGGUUCGGUUUUUCCUUCCACCCUUUGUGCUUUUGCAGACAGUGGUCAACACACACACACAUACACACAGCUCUACGCAGCCACACAACAACGCCCCCAAACGCAAAGGUGACCGAUCGCACAACGCAACAGUCCGUUCGGAGUUCCCAAAAACCACUGUGCUGGGUUGAAAGGUUUGUUGUUUUUUUUUUU